UCCACCUGGUGAGGAACCGAGGCCUCCUGCCAACAGUCAUGUCAGUGAACCAUGAAAGUUGCUCCCCAACCCCAGUCAAAUCUUCAGAUGCCCGGAGUCCUACCAACAGCCUCUCAAAACCUCAUAAGAGAUCCUGAGAUAGAACCACCCAGGGCAAUCUAGGAUCCUUGCCAAAGUUGAGAAGCAAAGGAUAAACCAACAGAGAAGGUCAAAGUUCUGCCUGCCUUUCUAGAGGAAGAUCACAUCUCUGGCUUGAUGACCUGGGAAAUAACAGGUGGAAAUUCCUCUGCCCACCUUCAGCUCACCUGAGACAUAAAAGGCAUCUCAAGGCUGAAGUGGAUGCUUAAACUUGUUCUCAAGAAUUACUCCUGAACCUCUCCUCCAUCUGAAGACAUGGGCGUGCCAUCUCCUGCAGAAACCUCCUUCCUUUCAGCCCAGUGCAGACUCAGGAGUCAGACAGCAUGGUUUUGUAGAUAGACCAGCUU